rnacentral:rRNA from 1 species
CAGUCGCCACGGUAAUACGUAGGUGGCAAGCGUUGUCCGGAAUUAUUGGGCGUAAAGGGCUCGCAGGCGGUUUCUUAAGUCUGAUGUGAAAGCCCCCGGCUCAACCGGGGAGGGUCAUUGGAAACUGGGAAACUUGAGUGCAGAAGAGGAGAGUGGAAUUCCACGUGUAGCGGUGAAAUGCGUAGAGAUGUGGAGGAACACCAGUGGCGAAGGCGACUCUCUGGUCUGUAACUGACGCUGAGGAGCGAAAGCGUGGGGAGCGAACGGGAUUAGAUACCCCGGUAGUCCCUGUCUCUUAUAC